GUCACCUGUAGCGUAGUUGGUCAGCAGUUUGUGUUGCUUUAUCUUUCUUCCAGUGUUUGAUUUUUCCCAGCGAAAUUUGAUAAAAGCCGGCGCCAAAGACGUCGGUUCGAAUCCGAUCGGGGACA